rnacentral:rRNA from 1 species
CAAUAGCGUAUAUUAAAGUUGUUGCAGCUAAAAAGCUCGUAGUUGGAUUUCUGGUAGGAGUGACCGUUCCGAACUUGAUUGUUCGUGUAUUGUGUUUUCUCCAGCCAUCCUUGUGGAGAACUUUUCUUGCAUUAAUUUGUAGGGAUUGGGACCCGCAUCGUUUACUGUGAAAAAAUUAGAGUGUUUAAAGCAGGCAAUCGCUUGAAUACAUUAGCAUGGAAUAAUAAGAUAGGACUUUGGUACUAUUUUGUUGGUUUGCAUACCAAAUUAAUGAUCAACAGGAACAGUUUGAGGAUAUUCGUAUGAACAUGUCAGAGGUGAAAUUCUUGGAUUUUGAUCAGACGAACUACUGCGAAAGCAUUUAUCAAGGAUGUUUUCAUUAA